GACGAACGCUGGCGGCGUGCUUAACACAUGCAAGUCGAACGGAAGGGCCCUGCUUUUGUGGGGUGCUCGAGUGGCGAACGGGUGAGUAACACGUGAGUAACCUGCCCUUGACUUUGGGAUAACUUCAGGAAACUGGGGCUAAUACCGGAUAGGAGCUCCUGCUGCAUGGUGGGGGUUGGAAAGUUUCGGCGGUUGGGGAUGGACUCGCGGCUUAUCAGCUUGUUGGUGGGGUAGUGGCUUACCAAGGCUUUGACGGGUAGCCGGCCUGAGAGGGUGACCGGCCACAUUGGGACUGAGAUACGGCCCAGACUCCUACGGUAGGCAGCAGUGGGGAAUAUUGCACAAUGGGCGGAAGCCUGAUGCAGCAACGCCGCGUGCGGGAUGACGGCCUUCGGGUUGUAAACCGCUUUCGCCUGUGACGAAGCGUGAGUGACGGUAAUGGGUAAAGAAGCACCGGCUAACUACGUG
rnacentral:rRNA from 1 species